GAUGAAGAACGUAGCGAAAUGCGAUAAGUAAUGCGAAUUGCAGAAUUCAGUGAGUCAUCGAAUCUUUGAACGCACAUUGCGCCCUGUGGUAUUCCGCAGGGCAUGCCUGUUCGAGCAUCAUUUCAACCCUCAAGCUCUGCUUGGUGUUGGGCCCUGCCCGCUGCGGCCGGCCCUAAAGACAGUGGCGGUGCCGCCUGGCCCUGAGCGUAGUACAUCUCUCGCUCCAGUGCCCGGUGGUAGCCUGCCAGAACCCCAACUCUCGUGGUUGACCUCGGAUCAGGUAGGGAUACCCGCUGAACUUAAGCAUAUCAAUAAGCGGAGGA
rnacentral:misc_RNA from 1 species